UAUGUAAUUAUUUUGUAUGAAUAACAUUAUAAUUAUUUUGCCAAUUUUAUUAUUACAGUAAAAAUGAUUACAUUUUACUGAUUGAUUGUUUUCAGGGAUUUCAUAAAAUAUGUGCUUGAACGUAUAUGACUGUUUUUGUUUUGAAUGUUAUAUAAAUGUUGUUUUGUGGGUAUCUGUGAGUUUUGUGUUACAGGGUUUUGGUGCAGUCAUUUUAAGGCUCCCGCUCUUCGUGUGAUAUGAGAGCCUGAAGUUGUCAGGUUUCAUCAUCUGAACGGAUUUAAAGAAGGAGGAAGCAUGACAGCCAGAGAUGAUUCUUCACUGAUGAGUGGAAUGCAUUCAUCUCAGGCAGUGCACUAAUUGUUUGAUUAUACAGGGCUUCUCUUUAAUGAAGCUCCUCUUUGGCAUUUGGGAACAUGGAGCGCCAUCGAAUUACCCACGCGACACUCACGCUGGGAAAGUUGAUCACUCAUUAGCAGUGACUGAGAGGUAAACAAGCUGAGAGUACAGUAGCAACACACACGAGCACACAUACAGUGUUUAUUACUGAGACUCCCUGAUCACAUUUACAUUCAACGCAGACAAAAUCACCCAGAGCUUAGAAUCUCUCAGUGAAAAGAGAGGAAAGAACAAAGACGCAUCCAAGCUACACAGAUUUGCUUUUCUUGGAGUGCACAUAUAAAGUAUAGAAUGGUAAGUAUUUCAGCACAUGUCUACAGAAGGCUAAGUUAUCCAAAUAAUACUACUUUUUUGUCCUUAUUUGUCUUAUUUAUCACAGUCUGUAUUACCAAAAACAUCAUAUUUAUCUGUAUAUGUACAUUCAAUCUACUAAUCAAUAUUAGUAUAGUCAGUACUGUAUUUAGAGAAAGAAAAGAAGAGUGAGCACAGAGUAGCAGCUGGUUAAUCAGUAGUCAUGACUGUUGCAAUGAGACAAAAGUUAAUGGGAGCUAAAGAGCGAGUCUGUUUUGUAAGGCACACAGAACUUCCUCCAAGCUUUGUCCCCUCUUUUCCUACCACAAUAUAGAGGCGACAGGUAGAAUGAGAAAAAGACAGGCAAAUAAAGACAGAAGCAAAACCUAGUAAGCUGCCUUACUCAACAGCAUUUAAAGAUACAUGCUCACUUACAUGUAAGAUGUUUCAAAAUAUUGGAAAAAAUAUCAAGGCGCCUUAGAAUCUAUUUUGUUUAAGACAUUUUCCAAGGCAGGAAAUUUGUGACAGGUUCAUUAAAAAAAAACUAAAUGUUAACAUAGUAUAACAACGUUAACAUUAGUUAAUAUUUGUUAAUGGAUUGGCUGAUAUUAAAUAAAAUGUGGAGUAUUUAUGCAUCUUUGUUAUUAUUAUUUAUUAAAAAUACAAGUGUUUUGUAAGCAUUUUGACCAAAGUCCUUUAAAAAAUAUUAACAGACACAACUUCUGAUAAUGUAUUAAAAAAUGUUGAAAUUAACAUUAUUAAAUGCUUUAGUAGUAAUUUUGUUGUUAGUUCAUGUUAACUAAUGUAGUUAACCAAUGUUAGCAACCUUAAACUUAUUGUUAAAGUUAACAUUGGAAUCUUACUGUAAAGUGUUAUCAAAAACAAUUAAAGACAAAUGUUUAUUAUAAAUAUACUUUUAUAUGUUUUACAAUUUAAAUAUGUAUGCUAAUGUAUGCUAUUUUAAAUAUGUAAACAACAAUUAACAUUAGGGGCAAUAUUUGUGUACACCGCCUAUGAGGAGCAUUACAAAUUAGUCAUUAAUGAGGCAUAAAAAGAACAAGGAAAAGUUACGUAGAUAUGCAUAACUCCUUUUUGCAGCUUCCUUUUCCUAACAGAGGUUGCUCAGAAUGCAGACUGUUAUACCCUUGUUAUCCACAUACAGGGGGUAUAGAAAAGAAUCACACCCCUUUAAAAUAAUCACAUUUUGUUGCUUCAAGUCAAUGGCACACAAAGUCAAACGGCUUUUUGUGAAAUUGAGAAGGUGAAUAGUUAUUCCUGUUUAAGUUUACAAGUCAGUUUUAGGAGGGGGGUGAUCCUUUUUCCAACUCAGUGAUUCUGGCUUUUAAUUAAAAAAAUACAAAUUAAAAUAAAAUUCUGACAAGGUGUUAUACUUGUAUGGUAUAAGUUUUACUGAGUUAAUACAGCUGGAUAAAACAAAAAACUGUGUCCAUCUUUAUUUCAGGCUGCAAAGCAGAAAAAUGUGAUUAUUUUAAGGUUGGUGAUUCUUUUCUAUACCCACUGUAUGGGUGGCUUUAAUUAGAACAUUAUUCUGUGAGACACAACAUGAGAUCCUGGAGUAUCUACUGUCCCGAGGCCUGUAAAGCUUCACUGUGUUCUAUCAUAGCUAUUGAACACAGUCACAUUGCUGAUGACAGUUCAGGGUCAUAAUUAAUCAUCGUGGACAGACAUAUGGCUGGAGUUUUGCUCCCCUGCAUUUCAUUCUGGAUUUUAGAUUGCUGCAGAAGAAAGGCUGAAUGCUGACAAAGUAAGCAUUAUUAUUACUAUUACUACUAAUCUUGGUAACUCAUUUGGGAUUAGAUUAGAUUAUAUUAUAUUAGAAUGAUCAUCUAGUAAACUGGUGUCAAACAAAAUGUAUGGAAAUAAUAUAUAAAAUCUUAUGUUUGUAUUAGAUGUUUAUAAUAAGCAAAAUUCAUAAUGAAUCAUAUGGAAAUACCUAAAAUCCUAGUUCAACAUAGUAUAUUUAAAGCCUAGUUUGUCAAGACAAUUCUGUGAUAAACAUUUGAAUUUAAUUCAACAGCUGUAAGUGCAUAAAACCUGACUCGUGAUUUCUUUAUAUUUUUAUGUGUUUUGAAAAAGACAAGUGGUGAUGGGAACAAACAGGUUGUCAGGGACCUUAAACCUCAUCAUGCUGAACAGGUGUAGCGGUCUGAUUCCGUGGGGUGUCAUCGCGCAGUAAAUGCUCGCUUUGGACCUCCUGGUGACUGAAUUAGCCCUGUGUAUAUGGCCUAUUGGUGUCAGGUGUGAGGUCAUUAUCCUGCCACAUAUGGAUGGGACAGGUGUCUGAGAGGCUUUACACCACAGUUAGGGACCUCCAUUACAGGCCAGAAGAAGACGCACACUUGGAGCGGGCCACUGCAGGGAGCUGCAUUCAUCAGAUUCUACCUUCCCCAUUUUAUUUGUGUAUCUGCUCUUCCUUCUUCAGUCAGAUAAAAAGAGCCAUCGGGUGGACAGGCCAAGCCUGAUGAAUACAGAAGGGAAGGAGGAGGGUGGGAGAUUAGAGCCCUGGAGAGAGAGAGAGAAAGAGCUUGCUGGAAAACGAAAGAUAAGCGGAAAGAGGUGAACAGGAACACUUGUCACUGCAGAUGUUGGCCUUGAUUUCUCCGAGCGGGAGAGAAGAUGUUCACGAGUGUGGCUGGACAUAAUGUAGUGGCCAAAUCUGUAAGGUCCUCCUCUCAGAACUCUGUGACAGCGCUGUUCCCUGAAGAUAUGGAGUAACAUGUUCAUAAGGUCAGCAGACCAACAACAGUUCUUCUGCCAAAUAUUAAAGGAAUGUUCCGGACUCUAUACAAGUUAAGGUCAAUCAACGGCAUUUGGGGCAAUGUUGUUUACCACAAAAAUAAAUUUGACUUAAAAAAAUCAAUACUUUUACUUAAGUGUGGCUUUCAAGUAUUUUAUUUACCGCUGCGACAGUUAGGGUAAGCUACAGUAUAUAAAGUUUUAAAUAUAGAUAUUUUUCUUACACAAAUGCAUCACUUUGCUUCAGAAGGCCUUUAUUAACCCCACUGAGUCAUGUGGAGCACUUUUUA